rnacentral:lncRNA from 1 species
UAUGAGAUAUUAUCAAUGGUUUAGAGGAUCUAUCAAUCACCUUCAAAGGAAAUAAAGAUUAUGUAUAUAGCAAACACAAUUUGUCCUAAGUUGGGCUUCUUCAACAUAUGAGUGCCACUUCUUUCGAAACUUGUUUCUAAAAGGAAAAAUAAUGUGAUACACAUAUAUAUUUAUCAAGAUUAGAAGUAUUAGAUAGAAAUUAAAUAAAUAGAUU